UGGGGAUAUAGCUCAGUUGGUAAAGUGCUUGCCUCUUGUGCACAAAGCCCUGGGUUCAAUCCCCAGCACAA
rnacentral:tRNA from 1 species